rfam:Photobacterium aphoticum strain DSM 25995 contig0044, whole genome shotgun sequence.
ACGACCGUAGCUCAGUUGGUUAGAGCACCACCUUGACAUGGUGGGGGUCGGUGGUUCGAGUCCACUCGGUCGUA